rnacentral:rRNA from 1 species
GACGAACGCUGGCGGCGUGCUUAACACAUGCAAGUCGCGCGGAAAGGCCACUUCGGUGGUACUCGAGCGGCGAACGGGCGAGGAACACGUGAGUAAUCUGCCCCUGGCUUUGGGAUAGCCACCGGAAACGGUGAUUAAUACCGGAUACGAUCAGUUCUCGCAUGGGAUGGUGGUGGAAAGGUUUUUCGGCCAGGGAUGUGCUCGCGGCCUAUCAGCUGGAUGGUGAGGUGAUGGCUCACCAUGGCUUCGACGGGUAGCCGGCCUGAGAGGGUGACCGGUCACACUGGGACUGAGACACGGCCCAGACUCCUACGGGAGGCAGCAGUGGGGAAUAUUGGACAAUGGGCGGAAGCCUGAUCCAGCAACGCCGCGUGAGGGAUGACGGCCUUCGGGUUGUAAACCUCUUGCAGCAGGGACGAAGCGCAAGUGACGGUACCUGCAGAAGAAGCACCGGCCAACUACGUGCCAGCAGCCGCGGUAA